rnacentral:rRNA from 1 species
AUAUUGCGCAAUGGGGGAAACCCUGACGCAGCAACGCCGCGUGAGUGAGGAAGGUCUUCGGAUUGUAAAACUCUUUUCUUAGGGAAAAAUGUCUCAGGGGCUAAUAUCUCCUGAGAGUGAUGGUACCUAAGGAAUAAGCACCGGCUAACUUCGUGCCAGCAGCCGCGGUAAUACGAAGGGUGCAAGCGUUGUUCGGAAUCAUUGGGCGUAAAGCGCGCGCAGGCGGAUUGGCAAGUCAGGUGUGAAAUCUCGAGGCUCAACCUCGAAACUGCGCCUGAAACUGCUAGUCUAGAAUGUCGGAGGGGGCAGGGGAAUUUCACGUGUAGGGGUAAAAUCCGUAGAGAUGUGAAGGAACACCGGAGGCGAAGGCGCCUGCCUGGACGACUAUUGACGCUGAGGCGCGAAAGCGUGGGGAGCAAACAGG